rnacentral:rRNA from 1 species
GACGAACGCUGGCGGCGUGCUUAACACAUGCAAGUCGAACGGAAAGGCCCCCAUCUUGGUGGGGGUGCUCGAGUGGCGAACGGGUGAGUAACACGUGGGUGAUCUGCCCUGUACUUCGGGAUAUGCUUGGGAAACUGGGUCUAAUACCGGAUAGGACCAUGGUUUAGUGUCUCAUGGGGGAAAGAUUAUUGUUUUGGUGCAGGAUGGGCUCGCGGCCUAUCAGCUUGUUGGUGGGGUAAUGGCCUAGCAGGGCGUGGACGGGUAGCCGGCCGGGGGUGGGGGGCGUGCACAGUUGAACUGAGACACUGGGCAGGAGCCUACGGGAGGCAGCAGUGGGGAGUAUGGAGCGAGGGACGUUAGCCUGAGGCAGGAACCCCGAGGCGGCAAUGACGGCCUUCGGGUUGUAAACUCCUUUCGUUAGGGACGUAGCCACGCUGAUUGGGUGUGGUGACGGUACCUUUGUAAAGAAGCACCGGCUAACUACGUG